AGCCGAGGCUCCUUUCCGGGCCUCACAACCCAGCAACAGCUUAAAACUAUAUGGCACCAGGAAAUCACACCAAGAUUAACCUCCUCCGACUGGGUCUGGCGGCCCCCUUUCUGAUGAUUAUGUCCUGGCUGAAGCCUGGCUUCCACAAGGAGCCUCUGCGCAGACCCAAACCCCACAGCUGUUGAGGGGAAUGAUGGGUGUUGAUGAAGUUGGACCCACUGACUGUGAACAGUUUCCAGUAGAAGGCGCAUUCUCACCUCCGCUGAGAGCCACUCUGGGACUCGAUGACGGUUUCCUCUUCUGUACUCCUCACCUGGGACAGAGAACAGGACAGCACGUAAGAAUUCAU